UACAGGGGGUGCUAGCGUUGUUCGGAAUUACUGGGCGUAAAGGGCGCGUAGGCGGUUUCGCAAGUCAGGGGUGAAAUCCCGGAGCUUAACUCCGGAAUUGCUUUUGAUACUGUGAGGCUAGAGUGAGUUAGAGGAUGGCGGAAUUCCUAGUGUAGUGGUGAAAUACGUAGAUAUUAGGAAGAACACCGGUGGCGAAGGCGGCCAUCUGGGACUCAACUGACGCUGAGGCGCGAAAGCGUGGGG
rnacentral:rRNA from 1 species